UGGGGAAUAUUGCACAAUGGGCGCAAGCCUGAUGCAGCCAUGCCGCGUGUGUGAAGAAGGCCUUCGGGUUGUAAAGCACUUUCAGCGGGGAGGAAGGCGAUAAGGUUAAUAACCUUGUCGAUUGACGUUACCCGCAGAAGAAGCACCGGCUAACUCCGUGCCAGCAGCCGCGGUAAUACGGAGGGUGCAAGCGUUAAUCGGAAUUACUGGGCGUAAAGGGCUUGUAGGCGGCUUGUUGCGCCUGCUGUGAAAACGCGGGGCUUAACUUCGCGCGUGCAGUGGGUACGGGCAGGCUUGAGUGUGGUAGGGGUGACUGGAAUUCCAGGUGUAGCGGUGGAAUGCGCAGAUAUCUGGAGGAACACCGAUGGCGAAGGCAGGUCACUGGGCCAUUACUGACGCUGAGGAGCGAAAGCAUGGGUAGCGAACAGG
rnacentral:rRNA from 1 species